AGACCAUCCCAUAUUCAGCCUUUGAGAGUUCCAUGCUUCCUUGCAUUCAAUAGUUAUAUUCAAGCAUAUGGAAUGUAAAGAAGUAUGGAGCGAAAUCUGGCGAGACAUCGGAGUUGAAAC
rnacentral:precursor_RNA from 15 species